rnacentral:rRNA from 1 species
AUGCUCAACCUGAUAUGCUCUUUUAUAGUGUUGAUUGUGUGUGUUAGGAAUAUGCUCUUUUGUUUUGCAACAAGAAACUUGAUUGAAGCUUUGUGUGAUCAAGUUUAUGUGUUGCUUGCUAUGCAGUGUCUCGAGCAAGAGGACCAAGUGUUGGUGGAUGGGCAUCAACAAGGUGGGUUGUCAGCACGGUGUUCGAGUUGGUCAGUAGUGGUGCACCUGCGCCAUGUAUGGAUCAAUACUCUAGGAGGUUCUGUCGAGGCCCAAUCCAUCCAGUUCAGAGCCAUUGUCAAAUUGAAUAACAACCGCCUUUUGGUCUCGGCCCAUAACCAGUCGUGA